AACGAACGCUGGCGGCAGGCUUAACACAUGCAAGUCGAACGCACUCUUCGGAGUGAGUGGCAGACGGGUGAGUAACGCGUGGGAACGUACCUUUCGGUUCGGAAUAACCCAGGGAAACUUGGGCUAAUACCGGAUGCGCCGGAAACGGGAAAGAUUUAUCGCCGAAAGAUCGGCCCGCGUCGGAUUAGCUAGUUGGUGGGGUAAAGGCCUACCAAGGCGACGAUCCGUAGCUGGUCUGAGAGGAUGANCAGCCACACUGGGACUGAGACACGGCCCAGACUCCUACGGGAGGCAGCAGUGGGGAAUAUUGGACAAUGGGCGAAAGCCUGAUCCAGCCAUGCCGCGUGAGUGAAGAAGGCCUUAGGGUUGUAAAGCUCUUUCAGCGGGGACGAUAAUGACGGUACCCGCAGAAGAAGCCCCGGCUAACUUCGUGCCAGCCGCCGCCGUAAG
rnacentral:rRNA from 1 species